rnacentral:rRNA from 1 species
CAGUCGCCACGGUAAUACAGAGGGUGCAAGCGUUAAUCGGAUUUACUGGGCGUAAAGCGUGCGUAGGCGGCUUCUUAAGUCGGAUGUGAAAUCCCUGAGCUUAACUUAGGAAUUGCAUUCGAUACUGGGAAGCUAGAGUAUGGGAGAGGAUGGUAGAAUUCCAGGUGUAGCGGUGAAAUGCGUAGAGAUCUGGAGGAAUACCGAUGGCGAAGGCAGCCAUCUGGCCUAAUACUGACGCUGAGGUACGAAAGCAUGGGGAGCAAACAGGAUUAGAUACCCCUGUAGUCCCUGUCUCUUAUAC